UCUUAUUUGUACUUAUCCACAUUUUAAACUUAGCUAUAGCUGACAGUGACCGGGUGCCAGACAUCACCACUGCUAUAGGCCUUUAGACAAUUUGACAUAAACAUUUCAAAUGUUGUUUUAAAUUGAGAACGUUACUUCGAUUGUAUGGCGGUGGCUAGGUUCAUGUGACCUAAGUGCGAAAGUUUUUAAGUGUUUCAAGAUUCCACAACUUAACUCUACAUGUAAUUCUUCUACAAUGAUACUCUCAUACAUUAUCAUAUUAUGUUUGUUACAAGCAAAGUUAUCUACAUCAACAACAACUUUAAAGCAAUUAUCCCAAAUCACGAAUGGACCAAACUGGAGACACAUUCAUCACAUGAAAAAAUCCGGUAAACCUAGGCUACAGAAACAUAAGACGACAAACAAACAAACAAACAGACACGACAGAAACAGAGUAUCGAAUAUACGAAGAUGUCACAGACGUGGCAGAAACGGUGUAUAAGUUAUACGAAGAUAUCGAAGAUAGAAAUGAUAAGGAAACUACAAUAUCAAAUGAUAAAAAAGAACAUAAUGUUGGUCUUAUAGCAGGAGUAGCACUCACACAGAAACAACCAGACACGACAGAAACGGAGUAUCAAAUAUACGAAGAUGUCAAAGAUAGAAAUGAUAAUGAAACUUUAACAUCAAAUGACAAAAAACAACAUAAUGAUGGUCUUAUACCAGGAAUACCACUCACACAGAAACAACCAGACACGACAGAAACGGUGUAUCAAAUAUACGAAGAUGAAAAAGAAAGCACAACAUCAAAUGACGAAGAACGUCCUAUUAUGAGAACAAUAGCAACUGUCACUGCGAGGUUUAUUUAUGUUCUGAAUUUAAAUGCUUCGAAAGUGUUCAAGCAUUAUGAAAAUUAGAAAAUCGUUGAUGUUUCGUUAAAACAACGAAUUAGAAUAAAUAUAGAAGUCUGA